UACGAAGGGGGCUAGCGUUGCUCGGAAUCACUGGGCGUAAAGGGUGCGUAGGCGGGUCUUUAAGUCAGGGGUGAAAUCCUGGAGCUCAACUCCAGAACUGCCUUUGAUACUGAGGAGCUUGAGUCCGGGAGAGGUGAGUGGAACUGCGAGUGUAGAGGUGAAAUUCGUAGAUAUUCGCAAGAACACCAGUGGCGAAGGCGGCUCACUGGCCCGGUACUGACGCUGAGGAGCGAAAGCGUGGG
rnacentral:rRNA from 1 species